rnacentral:rRNA from 1 species
UUGUCUCAAAGAUUAAGCCAUGCAUGUCUCAGUACAUACCGAAUUAAGGUGAAACCGCGAAAGGCUCAUUAUAUCAGUUAUGGUUCAUUAGAUCGUACUUCACAUUUACUUGGAUAACUGUGGUAAUUCUAGAGCUAAUACAUGCAAACAGAACUCCGACCGGAGACGGAAGGAGCGCUUUUAUUAGAUCAAAACCGAUGGGCGUCGGCGGCCGGCGUGAUCGUGCGCCGCGUCGUCGUCGUCGCAUAGCUCACACGAUGAAUCUGAAUAACUUUAUGCCGAUCGCACGGUCAAGCACCGGCGACGCAUCUUUCAAAUGUCUGCCUUAUCAACUUUCGAUGGUAGGUUAUGCGCCUACCAUGGUUGUAACGGGUAACGGGGAAUCAGGGUUCGAUUCCGGAGAGGGAGCCUGAGAAACGGCUACCACAUCCAAGGAAGGCAGCAGGCGCGCAAAUUACCCACUCCCGGCACGGGGAGGUAGUGACGAAAAAUAACGAUACGGGACUCAUCCGAGGCCCCGUGAUCGGAAUGAGCACACUUUAAAUCCUUUAACUAGGAUCAAUUGGAGGGCAAGUCUGGUGCCAGCAGCCGCGGUAAUUCCAGCUCCAAUAGCGUAUAUUAAAGUUGCUGCGGUUAAAAAGCUCGUAGUCGAAAUUGUGUCCCGGGCCGCCGGUUCGUCGCUCGCGACGUCAACUGGCGCGCACGCGGGACGUCCAGCCGGUGCUCGAACCCGCCGACGGUGCUCUUAACCGAGUGUCCAGGCGGGGGCCGGCAACGUUACUUUGAACAAAUUAAAGUGCUCAAAGCAGGCUAAACUGCGCUCGCAUAAUCAGUGCAUGGAAUAAUCGAAUAGGACCUCUGUUCUAUUUUGUUGGCUUUUGUAGAACAAACAGAGGUAAUGAUCAAUGGGUGCGGAUGGGGGCAUUCGUAUUGCGACGUUAGAGGUGAAAUUCUUGGAUCGUCGCAAGACGCACUAAAGCGAAAGCAUUUGCCAAAAACGCUUUCAUCGAUCAAGAACGAAAGUUAGAGGUUCGAAGGCGAUCAGAUACCGCCCUAGUUCUAACCAUAAACUAUGCCAGCCAGCGAUCCGCCGAAGUUACUACUAUGACUCGGCGGGCAGCUAUCGGGAAACCAGAGCUUUUGGGUUCCGGGGGAAGUAUGGUUGCAAAGCUGAAACUUAAAGGAAUUGACGGAAGGGCACCACCAGGAGUGGAGCCUGCGGCUUAAUUUGACUCAACACGGGAAACCUCACCAGGCCCGGACACCGAAAGGAUUGACAGAUUGAGAGCUCUUUCUUGAUUCGGUGGGUGGUGGUGCAUGGCCGUUCUUAGUUGGUGGAGCGAUUUGUCUGGUUAAUUCCGAUAACGAACGAGACUC